rnacentral:rRNA from 1 species
CCUACGGGUGGCAGCAGUGAGGAAUAUUGGUCAAUGGGCGGAAGCCUGAACCAGCCAAGUAGCGUGCGGGAUGAAGGCCCUACGGGUCGUAAACCGCUUUUGCACGGGGAUAACACCCUCCACUUGUGGAGGUCUGCAGGUACCGUGCGAAUAAGGGCCGGCUAAUUCCGUGCCAGCAGCCGCGGUAAUACGGAAGGCCCGAGCGUUAUCGGGAUUUAUUGGGCUUAAAGGGAGCAUAGCGGGGCGUUAAAGUCAGCUGUAAAAUUGCGAGGCUCAACCGCGCCCCGCAGUUGAAACUGGACGCCUUGAGUUCACGACAGGCAGGCGGAAUUCGUGGUGUAGCGGUGAAAUGCGUAGAUAUCACGAGGAACCCCGAUUGCGAAGGCAGCCUGCCGGGGUGCGACUGACGCUGAGGCUCGAAGGUGCGGGUAUCAAACAGGAUUAGAUACCCGAGUAGUC